AUGAAGAACCCUAAUACUUACCUCAUUGGUGUUGCAUCAAUAGCACGGAGAUCCCCGCAGAGGCAGCGAUCUUUAAAGUUGAAAGGACUAAAAGAAUUUGGGCUGCUUCCAGCCGGUCUACACAUGCCCAUCAGUCCAGGAGUCUCUCUCGCUGGGAGAAGCCAGAAGCCCAGAACGUGCCAAACGCUUAUCAAAUCGCCAGGUGAGUUCGAAGCUGGCUUUGAGAAUCUGAAUUUGUGGACUUGGCAGGUUGGGAAAGGUUCAAGUCGAUUGGGUUCUGUGCUUGAUCCGAGGGCCGGUGAGGCGGGUCGGCGGUGGCAGGAACGCCAAGAAAUUCGUCGUGGGAAACAUCCAGUAGAUUCAUCGUCUGUUGGAAGGAAUGUUCGGCCAGCACUAUGCGGAUUAAUUGAUCCUUGUCAUGUUGCUGUUAAGAGUUGCAUCUGA
rnacentral:rRNA from 1 species